GUCUUAGAGUAUGUGGUAAUGCUGUUCAAGUUCCACAUUUCAGAGAUGGGUGAUUGAUACAGCAACAUGAGUACCACCGGAUUCAUUUACCAGUUAAGACGAAACGGCGGCAAUGACAUAGUGUAUUAUGAAGGCAGAAGCUUCCGAAGAAGCCAUGAGGAUGCCAUGCAGGCAGGUUUACAGCGUGCAAGAAGAAUGUUCCAUCAAGACGAGAAUCAUCAAACACCCAACUAUUCAGUAACUGUGUGUGAAAUUCACAUCAACAGGAGACAAAUAACCAAUCGCUUACAGCUGCGUCGAAACAAAAGACUUUUCGUAGGCGUCUUGGAAACUCACUAUCUCAAUGAACUCCAGAGACUUGUUCGGAAGUUAUGUUGUGAUAAUUGUUAUGGAUGUGAAGUUAAUCAUCCAUCGCAAGUACAUCACCAGUGUCUCAUGAUGAACAGUGACGAGUGUAUUACUCAAUACUUUGAUCGUGCAGUGAAUGAGCUUCCCCUUCAUACCAUCUUGGAAAAAGCCAAGCAACAGAGGGUAAGCCUUGGGCUAGAGUUUCAGGACCAGCACACUGUGCAUUACAAUGACUCGGAUUAUAUGCAUAGUCAUUUCUUCUGCAAUGACAGAAAAGAAAGACUUGAGAUGCAGCUCAGAGUCCUCAUGAACAUGGAAGAUAGUAAUAACUAAAAGUCGCAUGUGUUAGCAUUAUUUUAUUGCUUUACAAUCUGAAAGUUACAUAGAAUACAUGUCAUGAAUUCAAUGUACAUGUACAGUUAGAAAGACUCUAGUUUUCUUAAUUUUGCAGUAGUGUUAGCACCGGGUACACCAUGUUGUGCUUGUCGUUUUAGAUAUAAAGAUGAUUUUGCCUU